UACGAAGGGGGCUAGCGUUGCUCGGAAUCACUGGGCGUAAAGCGCACGUAGGCGGAUUGUUAAGUCAGGGGUGAAAUCCUGGAGCUCAACUCCAGAACUGCCUUUGAUACUGGCGAUCUCGAGUCCGGGAGAGGUGAGUGGAACUCCGAGUGUAGUGGUGAAAUGCGUAGAUAUCGGGAGGAACACCAGUGGCGAAGGCGACUACCUGGCCUGUUCUUGACGCUGAGGCGCGAAAGCUAGGGGAGCAAACGGG
rnacentral:rRNA from 1 species